GUGGGGAAUAUUGGGCAAUGGGCGAAAGCCUGACCCAGCAACGCCGCGUGAAGGAAGAAGGUCUUCGGAUCGUAAACUUCUAUCCUUGGUGAAGAUAAUGACGGUAACCGAGAAGGAAGCCCCGGCUAACUACGUGCCAGCAGCCGCGGUAAUACGUAGGGGGCAAGCGUUGUCCGGAAUGAUUGGGCGUAAAGGGCGCGUAGGCGGCCUGGUAAGUCUGGAGUGAAAGUCCUGCUUUUAAGGUGGGAAUUGCUUUGGAUACUGUCGGGCUUGAGUGCAGGAGAGGUAAGUGGAAUUCCCGGUGUAGCGGUGAAAUGCGUAGAGAUCGGGAGGAACACCAGUGGCGAAGGCGACUUACUGGACUGUAACUGACGCUGAGGCGCGAAAGUGUGGGGAGCAAACAGGAUUAGAAACCCGUGUAGUCC
rnacentral:rRNA from 1 species